UUCCGCGCUUGUUUCAAGCUCGAGCACCCCGUCACUGCUAAGUCUCGUCAAAUCAACAACGCCCUCACAACGGCGCCUUUCACAAACACGUGGAGUUACUACCCACGUGUGCUCAGAGAAAACAACCAUACAGCCGCCGACGUCGAUUCGACGCACGAAAUCACCAGUGCAAGCCUGACGCAAAAUCAACUUAAAAAAAAAACACAUACGUUUGCCCGAAUCGCGAUUGGUGAACGGCAACAUCUGACCGAACUACAGCCUCGAGAGGAUCAGCCUCCGCGGUUCACAACUUCCUCGUCUACAGGCAGCAGAGAGCUGCGCUUCGAGCAAGAAACGCCAUACGCACACCCUCGUUGUGUAAAACGCUCGACAAUGGAAGGCAAGCGCGUCAACCUUCACGACACGGAAAGUUUCAUGUCACUCGACGAAUUCGACUCUGAUAACAACGCUUCAUACACAGCGGAAAACGCCAGUGACCACACGAAGCAAGACAAUCUCAGCAGUACCGCAGCCGCGCGGAACUCUGCAGAAUCUUCCAUGUUACUUGAGCCGCCGGGGAACACGCCUAUAUCGUACCUAUCACAUUCGAACUCCCCGAAGAGCUUCGCGUCGCUGGAGGCGGCGGAGGAGGCCUCAGUGCUGCGUGCGCAGCAGGAGGAGCAUGCGCCAGCGCUGCAGCGCGUCGGCACGCCGGGGGAGCCGCAGCCGCGCCUCGCGGUCACGACACACCGGGUUCGCCUGGACGGCGAUUUGUGGGCGCGUGUCGUCGACGAGUGGCCGGACCUGCUCAAGCAGGAGUUCACAAGCGACGUCUGCGAUGCCACGGCGCUGCCGCGGACGUCGAUGCAGCGGCUGGUGCUCACAGCCGGCAGCCUCGUCGCCGACUUCCAGCUCUCGCACGGAGGCCUCGCGAAGAGGGAGCUGAACAAGCAGCUUGCCAGCUCGCCCUUCACCCGCACCUGGGCACUGUACGAGCGCGUCGCCGAGACGAAAGAGACGCCGCCCACGCGCGCCACGCCGCCGGCUGCCCUUCGCGCCUCGGAGAGCUUCGCGUCGCUGGAGGCGGCGGAGGAGGCCUCAGUGCUGCGUGCGCAGCAGGAGGAGCAUGCGCCAGCGCUGCAGCGCGUCGGCACGCCGGUGGAGCCGCAGCCGCGCCUCGCGGUCACGACACACCGGGUUCGCCUGGACGGCGAUUUGUGGGCGCGUGUCGUCGACGAGUGGCCGGACCUGCUCAAGCAGGAGUUCACAAGCGACGUCUGCGAUGCCACGGCGCUGCCGCGGACGUCGAUGCAGCGGCUGGUGCUCACAGCCGGCAGCCUCGUCGCCGACUUCCAGCUCUCGCACGGAGGCCUCGCGAAGAGGGAGCUGAACAAGCAGCUUGCCAGCUCGCCCUUCACCCGCACCUGGGCACUGUACGAGCGCGUCGCCGAGACGAAAGAGACGCCGCCCACGCGCGCCACGCCGCCGGCUGCCCUUCGCGCCUCGGAGAGCUUCGCGCCGCUGGAGGCGGCGGAGGAGGCCGGCGCGGCGCAGCGUGAGGAGCAUGCGCCAGCGCUGCAGCGCGUCGGCACGCCGGUGGAGCCGCAGCCGCGCCUCGCGGUCACGACACACCGGGUUCGCCUGGACGGCGAUUUGUGGGCGCGUGUCGUCGACGAGUGGCCGGACCUGCUCAAGCAGGAGUUCACAAGCGACGUCUGCGAUGCCACGGCGCUGCCGCGGACGUCGAUGCAGCGGCUGGUGCUCACAGCCGGCAGCCUCGUCGCCGACUUCCAGCUCUCGCACGGAGGCCUCGCGAAGAGGGAGCUGAACAAGCAGCUUGCCAGCUCGCCCUUCACCCGCACCUGGGCACUGUACGAGCGCGUCGCCGAGACGAAAGAGACGCCGCCCACGCGCGCCACGCCGCCGGCUGCCCUUCGCGCCUCGGAGAGCUUCGCGUCGCUGGAGGCGGCGGAGGAGGCCUCAGUGCUGCGUGCGCAGCAGGAGGAGCAUGCGCCAGCGCUGCAGCGCGUCGGCACGCCGGUGGAGCCGCAGCCGCGCCUCGCGGUCACGACACACCGGGUUCGCCUGGACGGCGAUUUGUGGGCGCGUGUCGUCGACGAGUGGCCGGACCUGCUCAAGCAGGAGUUCACAAGCGACGUCUGCGAUGCCACGGCGCUGCCGCGGACGUCGAUGCAGCGGCUGGUGCUCACAGCCGGCAGCCUCGUCGCCGACUUCCAGCUCUCGCACGGAGGCCUCGCGAAGAGGGAGCUGGACAAGCAGCUUGCCAGCUCGCCCUUCACCCGCACCUGGGCACUGUACGAGCGCGUCGCCGAGACGAAAGAGACGCCGCCCACGCGCGCCACGCCGCCGGCUGCCCUUCGCGCCUCGGAGAGCUUCGCGUCGCUGGAGGCGGCGGAGGAGGCCUCAGUGCUGCGUGCGCAGCAGGAGGAGCAUGCGCCAGCGCUGCAGCGCGUCGGCACGCCGGUGGAGCCGCAGCCGCGCCUCGCGGUCACGACACACCGGGUUCGCCUGGACGGCGAUUUGUGGGCGCGUGUCGUCGACGAGUGGCCGGACCUGCUCAAGCAGGAGUUCACAAGCGACGUCUGCGAUGCCACGGCGCUGCCGCGGACGUCGAUGCAGCGGCUGGUGCUCACAGCCGGCAGCCUCGUCGCCGACUUCCAGCUCUCGCACGGAGGCCUCGCGAAGAGGGAGCUGAACAAGCAGCUUGCCAGCUCGCCCUUCACCCGCACCUGGGCACUGUACGAGCGCGUCGCCGAGACGAAAGAGACGCCGCCCACGCGCGCCACGCCGCCGGCUGCCCUUCGCGCCUCGGAGAGCUUCGCGUCGCUGGAGGCGGCGGAGGAGGCCUCAGUGCUGCGUGCGCAGCAGGAGGAGCAUGCGCCAGCGCUGCAGCGCGUCGGCACGCCGGUGGAGCCGCAGCCGCGCCUCGCGGUCACGACACACCGGGUUCGCCUGGACGGCGAUUUGUGGGCGCGUGUCGUCGACGAGUGGCCGGACCUGCUCAAGCAGGAGUUCACAAGCGACGUCUGCGAUGCCACGGCGCUGCCGCGGACGUCGAUGCAGCGGCUGGUGCUCACAGCCGGCAGCCUCGUCGCCGACUUCCAGCUCUCGCACGGAGGCCUCGCGAAGAGGGAGCUGAACAAGCAGCUUGCCAGCUCGCCCUUCACCCGCACCUGGGCACUGUACGAGCGCGUCGCCGAGACGAAAGAGACGCCGCCCACGCGCGCCACGCCGCCGGCUGCCCUUCGCGCCUCGGAGAGCUUCGCGCCGCUGGAGGCGGCGGAGGAGGCCUCAGUGCUGCGUGCGCAGCAGGAGGAGCAUGCGCCAGCGCUGCAGCGCGUCGGCACGCCGGUGGAGCCGCAGCCGCGCCUCGCGGUCACGACACACCGGGUUCGCCUGGACGGCGAUUUGUGGGCGCGUGUCGUCGACGAGUGGCCGGACCUGCUCAAGCAGGAGUUCACAAGCGACGUCUGCGAUGCCACGGCGCUGCCGCGGACGUCGAUGCAGCGGCUGGUGCUCACAGCCGGCAGCCUCGUCGCCGACUUCCAGCUCUCGCACGGAGGCCUCGCGAAGAGGGAGCUGAACAAGCAGCUUGCCAGCUCGCCCUUCACCCGCACCUGGGCACUGUACGAGCGCGUCGCCGAGACGAAAGAGACGCCGCCCACGCGCGCCACGCCGCCGGCUGCCCUUCGCGCCUCGGAGAGCUUCGCGUCGCUGGAGGCGGCGGAGGAGGCCUCAGUGCUGCGUGCGCAGCAGGAGGAGCAUGCGCCAGCGCUGCAGCGCGUCGGCACGCCGGUGGAGCCGCAGCCGCGCCUCGCGGUCACGACACACCGGGUUCGCCUGGACGGCGAUUUGUGGGCGCGUGUCGUCGACGAGUGGCCGGACCUGCUCAAGCAGGAGUUCACAAGCGACGUCUGCGAUGCCACGGCGCUGCCGCGGACGUCGAUGCAGCGGCUGGUGCUCACAGCCGGCAGCCUCGUCGCCGACUUCCAGCUCUCGCACGGAGGCCUCGCGAAGAGGGAGCUGAACAAGCAGCUUGCCAGCUCGCCCUUCACCCGCACCUGGGCACUGUACGAGCGCGUCGCCGAGACGAAAGAGACGCCGCCCACGCGCGCCACGCCGCCGGCUGCCCUUCGCGCCUCGGAGAGCUUCGCGUCGCUGGAGGCGGCGGAGGAGGCCUCAGUGCUGCGUGCGCAGCAGGAGGAGCAUGCGCCAGCGCUGCAGCGCGUCGGCACGCCGGUGGAGCCGCAGCCGCGCCUCGCGGUCACGACACACCGGGUUCGCCUGGACGGCGAUUUGUGGGCGCGUGUCGUCGACGAGUGGCCGGACCUGCUCAAGCAGGAGUUCACAAGCGACGUCUGCGAUGCCACGGCGCUGCCGCGGACGUCGAUGCAGCGGCUGGUGCUCACAGCCGGCAGCCUCGUCGCCGACUUCCAGCUCUCGCACGGAGGCCUCGCGAAGAGGGAGCUGAACAAGCAGCUUGCCAGCUCGCCCUUCACCCGCACCUGGGCACUGUACGAGCGCGUCGCCGAGACGAAAGAGACGCCGCCCACGCGCGCCACGCCGCCGGCUGCCCUUCGCGCCUCGGAGAGCUUCGCGCCGCUGGAGGCGGCGGAGGAGGCCUCAGUGCUGCGUGCGCAGCAGGAGGAGCAUGCGCCAGCGCUGCAGCGCGUCGGCACGCCGGUGGAGCCGCAGCCGCGCCUCGCGGUCACGACACACCGGGUUCGCCUGGACGGCGAUUUGUGGGCGCGUGUCGUCGACGAGUGGCCGGACCUGCUCAAGCAGGAGUUCACAAGCGACGUCUGCGAUGCCACGGCGCUGCCGCGGACGUCGAUGCAGCGGCUGGUGCUCACAGCCGGCAGCCUCGUCGCCGACUUCCAGCUCUCGCACGGAGGCCUCGCGAAGAGGGAGCUGAACAAGCAGCUUGCCAGCUCGCCCUUCACCCGCACCUGGGCACUGUACGAGCGCGUCGCCGAGACGAAAGAGACGCCGCCCACGCGCGCCACGCCGCCGGCUGCCCUUCGCGCCUCGGAGAGCUUCGCGUCGCUGGAGGCGGCGGAGGAGGCCUCAGUGCUGCGUGCGCAGCAGGAGGAGCAUGCGCCAGCGCUGCAGCGCGUCGGCACGCCGGUGGAGCCGCAGCCGCGCCUCGCGGUCACGACACACCGGGUUCGCCUGGACGGCGAUUUGUGGGCGCGUGUCGUCGACGAGUGGCCGGACCUGCUCAAGCAGGAGUUCACAAGCGACGUCUGCGAUGCCACGGCGCUGCCGCGGACGUCGAUGCAGCGGCUGGUGCUCACAGCCGGCAGCCUCGUCGCCGACUUCCAGCUCUCGCACGGAGGCCUCGCGAAGAGGGAGCUGAACAAGCAGCUUGCCAGCUCGCCCUUCACCCGCACCUGGGCACUGUACGAGCGCGUCGCCGAGACGAAAGAGACGCCGCCCACGCGCGCCACGCCGCCGGCUGCCCUUCGCGCCUCGGAGAGCUUCGCGUCGCUGGAGGCGGCGGAGGAGGCCUCAGUGCUGCGUGCGCAGCAGGAGGAGCAUGCGCCAGCGCUGCAGCGCGUCGGCACGCCGGUGGAGCCGCAGCCGCGCCUCGCGGUCACGACACACCGGGUUCGCCUGGACGGCGAUUUGUGGGCGCGUGUCGUCGACGAGUGGCCGGACCUGCUCAAGCAGGAGUUCACAAGCGACGUCUGCGAUGCCACGGCGCUGCCGCGGACGUCGAUGCAGCGGCUGGUGCUCACAGCCGGCAGCCUCGUCGCCGACUUCCAGCUCUCGCACGGAGGCCUCGCGAAGAGGGAGCUGAACAAGCAGCUUGCCAGCUCGCCCUUCACCCGCACCUGGGCACUGUACGAGCGCGUCGCCGAGACGAAAGAGACGCCGCCCACGCGCGCCACGCCGCCGGCUGCCCUUCGCGCCUCGGAGAGCUUCGCGCCGCUGGAGGCGGCGGAGGAGGCCUCAGUGCUGCGUGCGCAGCAGGAGGAGCAUGCGCCAGCGCUGCAGCGCGUCGGCACGCCGGUGGAGCCGCAGCCGCGCCUCGCGGUCACGACACACCGGGUUCGCCUGGACGGCGAUUUGUGGGCGCGUGUCGUCGACGAGUGGCCGGACCUGCUCAAGCAGGAGUUCACAAGCGACGUCUGCGAUGCCACGGCGCUGCCGCGGACGUCGAUGCAGCGGCUGGUGCUCACAGCCGGCAGCCUCGUCGCCGACUUCCAGCUCUCGCACGGAGGCCUCGCGAAGAGGGAGCUGAACAAGCAGCUUGCCAGCUCGCCCUUCACCCGCACCUGGGCACUGUACGAGCGCGUCGCCGAGACGAAAGAGACGCCGCCCACGCGCGCCACGCCGCCGGCUGCCCUUCGCGCCUCGGAGAGCUUCGCGCCGCUGGAGGCGGCGGAGGAGGCCUCAGUGCUGCGUGCGCAGCAGGAGGAGCAUGCGCCAGCGCUGCAGCGCGUCGGCACGCCGGUGGAGCCGCAGCCGCGCCUCGCGGUCACGACACACCGGGUUCGCCUGGACGGCGAUUUGUGGGCGCGUGUCGUCGACGAGUGGCCGGACCUGCUCAAGCAGGAGUUCACAAGCGACGUCUGCGAUGCCACGGCGCUGCCGCGGACGUCGAUGCAGCGGCUGGUGCUCACAGCCGGCAGCCUCGUCGCCGACUUCCAGCUCUCGCACGGAGGCCUCGCGAAGAGGGAGCUGAACAAGCAGCUUGCCAGCUCGCCCUUCACCCGCACCUGGGCACUGUACGAGCGCGUCGCCGAGACGAAAGAGACGCCGCCCACGCGCGCCACGCCGCCGGCUGCCCUUCGCGCCUCGGAGAGCUUCGCGUCGCUGGAGGCGGCGGAGGAGGCCUCAGUGCUGCGUGCGCAGCAGGAGGAGCAUGCGCCAGCGCUGCAGCGCGUCGGCACGCCGGUGGAGCCGCAGCCGCGCCUCGCGGUCACGACACACCGGGUUCGCCUGGACGGCGAUUUGUGGGCGCGUGUCGUCGACGAGUGGCCGGACCUGCUCAAGCAGGAGUUCACAAGCGACGUCUGCGAUGCCACGGCGCUGCCGCGGACGUCGAUGCAGCGGCUGGUGCUCACAGCCGGCAGCCUCGUCGCCGACUUCCAGCUCUCGCACGGAGGCCUCGCGAAGAGGGAGCUGAACAAGCAGCUUGCCAGCUCGCCCUUCACCCGCACCUGGGCACUGUACGAGCGCGUCGCCGAGACGAAAGAGACGCCGCCCACGCGCGCCACGCCGCCGGCUGCCCUUCGCGCCUCGGAGAGCUUCGCGUCGCUGGAGGCGGCGGAGGAGGCCUCAGUGCUGCGUGCGCAGCAGGAGGAGCAUGCGCCAGCGCUGCAGCGCGUCGGCACGCCGGUGGAGCCGCAGCCGCGCCUCGCGGUCACGACACACCGGGUUCGCCUGGACGGCGAUUUGUGGGCGCGUGUCGUCGACGAGUGGCCGGACCUGCUCAAGCAGGAGUUCACAAGCGACGUCUGCGAUGCCACGGCGCUGCCGCGGACGUCGAUGCAGCGGCUGGUGCUCACAGCCGGCAGCCUCGUCGCCGACUUCCAGCUCUCGCACGGAGGCCUCGCGAAGAGGGAGCUGAACAAGCAGCUUGCCAGCUCGCCCUUCACCCGCACCUGGGCACUGUACGAGCGCGUCGCCGAGACGAAAGAGACGCCGCCCACGCGCGCCACGCCGCCGGCUGCCCUUCGCGCCUCGGAGAGCUUCGCGCCGCUGGAGGCGGCGGAGGAGGCCUCAGUGCUGCGUGCGCAGCAGGAGGAGCAUGCGCCAGCGCUGCAGCGCGUCGGCACGCCGGUGGAGCCGCAGCCGCGCCUCGCGGUCACGACACACCGGGUUCGCCUGGACGGCGAUUUGUGGGCGCGUGUCGUCGACGAGUGGCCGGACCUGCUCAAGCAGGAGUUCACAAGCGACGUCUGCGAUGCCACGGCGCUGCCGCGGACGUCGAUGCAGCGGCUGGUGCUCACAGCCGGCAGCCUCGUCGCCGACUUCCAGCUCUCGCACGGAGGCCUCGCGAAGAGGGAGCUGAACAAGCAGCUUGCCAGCUCGCCCUUCACCCGCACCUGGGCACUGUACGAGCGCGUCGCCGAGACGAAAGAGACGCCGCCCACGCGCGCCACGCCGCCGGCUGCCCUUCGCGCCUCGGAGAGCUUCGCGCCGCUGGAGGCGGCGGAGGAGGCCUCAGUGCUGCGUGCGCAGCAGGAGGAGCAUGCGCCAGCGCUGCAGCGCGUCGGCACGCCGGUGGAGCCGCAGCCGCGCCUCGCGGUCACGACACACCGGGUUCGCCUGGACGGCGAUUUGUGGGCGCGUGUCGUCGACGAGUGGCCGGACCUGCUCAAGCAGGAGUUCACAAGCGACGUCUGCGAUGCCACGGCGCUGCCGCGGACGUCGAUGCAGCGGCUGGUGCUCACAGCCGGCAGCCUCGUCGCCGACUUCCAGCUCUCGCACGGAGGCCUCGCGAAGAGGGAGCUGAACAAGCAGCUUGCCAGCUCGCCCUUCACCCGCACCUGGGCACUGUACGAGCGCGUCGCCGAGACGAAAGAGACGCCGCCCACGCGCGCCACGCCGCCGGCUGCCCUUCGCGCCUCGGAGAGCUUCGCGUCGCUGGAGGCGGCGGAGGAGGCCUCAGUGCUGCGUGCGCAGCAGGAGGAGUAUGCGCCAGCGCUGCAGCGCGUCGGCACGCCGGUGGAGCCGCAGCCGCGCCUCGCGGUCACGACACACCGGGUUCGCCUGGACGGCGAUUUGUGGGCGCGUGUCGUCGACGAGUGGCCGGACCUGCUCAAGCAGGAGUUCACAAGCGACGUCUGCGAUGCCACGGCGCUGCCGCGGACGUCGAUGCAGCGGCUGGUGCUCACAGCCGGCAGCCUCGUCGCCGACUUCCAGCUCUCGCACGGAGGCCUCGCGAAGAGGGAGCUGAACAAGCAGCUUGCCAGCUCGCCCUUCACCCGCACCUGGGCACUGUACGAGCGCGUCGCCGAGACGAAAGAGACGCCGCCCACGCGCGCCACGCCGCCGGCUGCCCUUCGCGCCUCGGAGAGCUUCGCGCCGCUGGACCCGGUGGAGGAGACCGCAGUGCUGCGUGCGCAGCAGGAGGAGGAGCCGCCGGUGGAGGCGAUGACGGCGUUCGAGGAGCAUGCGCGAGCGCUGCAGCGCGUCGGCACGCUGGUGGAGCCGCAUCGUGGUGCUCUCGAGGGGGCUUCCCCGGUAGACGCCCGUACCGCCACGCCGCCGGCUGCCCUUCGCGCCUCGGAGAGCUUCGCGUCGCUGGACCCAGUGGAGGAGGCCGCAGUGCUGCGUGCGCAGCAGGAGGAGGAGCCACCGGUGGAGGCGAUGACGGCGUUCGAGGAGCAUGCGCCAGCGCUGCAGCGCGUCGGCACGCCGGUGGAGCCGCAUCGUGGUGCUCUCGAGGGGGCUUCCCCGGUAGACGCCCGUACCGCCACGCCGCCGGCUGCCCUUCGCGCCUCGGAGAGCUUCGCGUCGCUGGACCCGGUGGAGGAGGCCGCAGUGCUGCGUGCGCAGCAGGAGGAGGAGCCACCGGUGGAGGCGAUGACGGCGUUCGAGGAGUAUGCGCCAGCGCUGCAGCGCGUCGGCACGCCGGUGGAGCCGCAUCGUGGUGCUCUCGAGGGGGCUUCCCCGGUAGACGCCCGUACCGCCACGCCGCCGGCUGCCCUUCGCGCCUCGGAGAGCUUCGCGUCGCUGGACCCGGCGGAGGAGGCCGCAGUGCUGCGUGCGCAGCAGGAGGAGGAGCCGCCGGUGGAGGCGAUGACGGCGUUCGAGGAGCAUGCGCCAGCGCUGCAGCGCGUCGGCACGCCGGUGGAGCCGCAUCGUGGUGCUCUCGAGGGGGCUUCCCCGGUAGACGCCCGUACCGCCACGCCGCCGGCUGCCCUUCGCGCCUCGGAGAGCUUCGCGUCGCUGGACCCAGUGGAGGAGGCCGCAGUGCUGCGUGCGCAGCAGGAGGAGGAGCCGCCGGUGGAGGCGAUGACGGCGUUCGAGGAGCAUGCGCCAGCGCUGCAGCGCGUCGGCACGCCGGUGGAGCCGCAUCGUGGUGCUCUCGAGGGGGCUUCCCCGGUAGACGCCCGUACCGCCACGCCGCCGGCUGCCCUUCGCGCCUCGGAGAGCUUCGCGUCGCUGGACCCGGUGGAGGAGGCCGCAGUGCUGCGUGCGCAGCAGGAGGAGGAGCCACCGGUGGAGGCGAUGACGGCGUUCGAGGAGCAUGCGCGAGCGCUGCAGCGCGUCGGCACGCUGGUGGAGCCGCAUCGUGGUGCUCUCGAGGGGGCUUCCCCGGUAGACGCCCGUACCGCCACGCCGCCGGCUGCCCUUCGCGCCUCGGAGAGCUUCGCGUCGCUGGACCCGGUGGAGGAGGCCGCAGUGCUGCGUGCGCAGCAGGAGGAGGAGCCACCGGUGGAGGCGAUGACGGCGUUCGAGGAGCAUGCGCCAGCGCUGCAGCGCGUCGGCACGCCGGUGGAGCCGCAGCCGCGCCUCGCGGUCACGACACACCGGGUUCGCCUGGACGGCGAUUUGUGGGCGCGUGUCGUCGACGAGUGGCCGGACCUGCUCAAGCAGGAGUUCACAAGCGACGUCUGCGAUGCCACGGCGCUGCCGCGGACGUCGAUGCAGCGGCUGGUGCUCACAGCCGGCAGCCUCGUCGCCGACUUCCAGCUCUCGCACGGAGGCCUCGCGAAGAGGGAGCUGGACAAGCAGCUUGCCAGCUCGCCCUUCACCCGCACCUGGGCACUGUACGAGCGCGUCGCCGAGACGAAAGAGACGCCGCCCACGCGCGCCACGCCGCCGGCUGCCCUUCGCGCCUCGGAGAGCUUCGCGUCGCUGGACCCGGCGGAGGAGGCCGCAGUACUGCGUGCGCAGCAGGAGGAGCCACCGGUGGAGGCGAUGACGGCGUUCGAGGAGCAUGCGCGAGCGCUGCAGCGCGUCGGCACGCUGGUGGAGCCGCAUCGUGGUGCUCUCGAGGGGGCUUCCCCGGUAGACGCCCGUACCGCCACGCCGCCGGCUGCCCUUCGCGCCUCGGAGAGCUUCGCGUCGCUGGACCCGGUGGAGGAGGCCGCAGUGCUGCGUGCGCAGCAGGAGGAGGAGCCACCGGUGGAGGCGAUGACGGCGUUCGAGGAGCAUGCGCCAGCGCUGCAGCGCGUCGGCACGCCGGUGGAGCCGCAUCGUGGUGCUCUCGAGGGGGCUUCCCCGGUAGACGCCCGUACCGCCACGCCGCCGGCUGCCCUUCGCGCCUCGGAGAGCUUCGCGUCGCUGGACCCAGUGGAGGAGGCCGCAGUGCUGCGUGCGCAGCAGGAGGAGGAGCCACCGGUGGAGGCGAUGACGGCGUUCGAGGAGCAUGCGCCAGCGCUGCAGCGCGUCGGCACGCCGGUGGAGCCGCAGCCGCGCCUCGCGGUCACGACACACCGGGUUCGCCUGGACGGCGAUUUGUGGGCGCGUGUCGUCGACGAGUGGCCGGACCUGCUCAAGCAGGAGUUCACAAGCGACGUCUGCGAUGCCACGGCGCUGCCGCGGACGUCGAUGCAGCGGCUGGUGCUCACAGCCGGCAGCCUCGUCGCCGACUUCCAGCUCUCGCACGGAGGCCUCGCGAAGAGGGAGCUGGACAAGCAGCUUGCCAGCUCGCCCUUCACCCGCACCUGGGCACUGUACGAGCGCGUCGCCGAGACGAAAGAGACGCCGCCCACGCGCGCCACGCCGCCGGCUGCCCUUCGCGCCUCGGAGAGCUUCGCGUCGCUGGACCCGGCGGAGGAGGCCGCAGUACUGCGUGCGCAGCAGGAGGAGCCACCGGUGGAGGCGAUGACGGAGUUCGAGGAGCAUGCGCCAGCGCUGCAGCGCGUCGGCACGCCGGUGGAGCCGCAUCGUGGUGCUCUCGAGGGGGCUUCCCCGGUAGACGCCCGUACCGCCACGCCGCCGGCUGCCCUUCGCGCCUCGGAGAGCUUCGCGUCGCUGGACCCGGUGGAGGAGGCCGCAGUGCUGCGUGCGCAGCAGGAGGAGGAGCCGCCGGUGGAGGCGAUGACGGCGUUCGAGGAGCAUGCGCCAGCGCUGCAGCGCGUCGGCACGCCGGUGGAGCCGCAUCGUGGUGCUCUCGAGGGGGCUUCCCCGGUAGACGCCCGUACCGCCACGCCGCCGGCUGCCCUUCGCGCCUCGGAGAGCUUCGCGUCGCUGGACCCGGUGGAGGAGGCCGCAGUGCUGCGUGCGCAGCAGGAGGAGGAGCCGCCGGUGGAGGCGAUGACGGCGUUCGAGGAGCAUGCGCCAGCGCUGCAGCGCGUCGGCACGCCGGUGGAGCCGCAUCGUGGUGCUCUCGAGGGGGCUUCCCCGGUAGACGCCCGUACCGCCACGCCGCCGGCUGCCCUUCGCGCCUCGGAGAGCUUCGCGUCGCUGGACCCAGUGGAGGAGGCCGCAGUGCUGCGUGCGCAGCAGGAGGAGGAGCCACCGGUGGAGGCGAUGACGGCGUUCGAGGAGCAUGCGCCAGCGCUGCAGCGCGUCGGCACGCCGGUGGAGCCGCAUCGUGGUGCUCUCGAGGGGGCUUCCCCGGUAGACGCCCGUACCGCCACGCCGCCGGCUGCCCUUCGCGCCUCGGAGAGCUUCGCGUCGCUGGACCCAGUGGAGGAGGCCGCAGUGCUGCGUGCGCAGCAGGAGGAGGAGCCACCGGUGGAGGCGAUGACGGCGUUCGAGGAGCAUGCGCGAGCGCUGCAGCGCGUCGGCACGCUGGUGGAGCCGCAUCGUGGUGCUCUCGAGGGGGCUUCCCCGGUAGACGCCCGUACCGCCACGCCGCCGGCUGCCCUUCGCGCCUCGGAGAGCUUCGCGUCGCUGGACCCAGUGGAGGAGGCCGCAGUGCUGCGUGCGCAGCAGGAGGAGGAGCCACCGGUGGAGGCGAUGACGGCGUUCGAGGAGCAUGCGCCAGCGCUGCAGCGCGUCGGCACGCCGGUGGAGCCGCAGCCGCGCCUCGCGGUCACGACACACCGGGUUCGCCUGGACGGCGAUUUGUGGGCGCGUGUCGUCGACGAGUGGCCGGACCUGCUCAAGCAGGAGUUCACAAGCGACGUCUGCGAUGCCACGGCGCUGCCGCGGACGUCGAUGCAGCGGCUGGUGCUCACAGCCGGCAGCCUCGUCGCCGACUUCCAGCUCUCGCACGGAGGCCUCGCGAAGAGGGAGCUGGACAAGCAGCUUGCCAGCUCGCCCUUCACCCGCACCUGGGCACUGUACGAGCGCGUCGCCGAGACGAAAGAGACGCCGCCCACGCGCGCCACGCCGCCGGCUGCCCUUCGCGCCUCGGAGAGCUUCGCGUCGCUGGACCCGGCGGAGGAGGCCGCAGUACUGCGUGCGCAGCAGGAGGAGCCACCGGUGGAGGCGAUGACGGCGUUCGAGGAGCAUGCGCCAGCGCUGCAGCGCGUCGGCACGCCGGUGGAGCCGCAUCGUGGUGCUCUCGAGGGGGCUUCCCCGGUAGACGCCCGUACCGCCACGCCGCCGGCUGCCCUUCGCGCCUCGGAGAGCUUCGCGUCGCUGGACCCAGUGGAGGAGGCCGCAGUGCUGCGUGCGCAGCAGGAGGAGGAGCCGCCGGUGGAGGCGAUGACGGCGUUCGAGGAGCAUGCGCCAGCGCUGCAGCGCGUCGGCACGCCGGUGGAGCCGCAUCGUGGUGCUCUCGAGGGGGCUUCCCCGGUAGACGCCCGUACCGCCACGCCGCCGGCUGCCCUUCGCGCCUCGGAGAGCUUCGCGUCGCUGGACCCAGUGGAGGAGGCCGCAGUGCUGCGUGCGCAGCAGGAGGAGGAGCCGCCGGUGGAGGCGAUGACGGCGUUCGAGGAGCAUGCGCCAGCGCUGCAGCGCGUCGGCACGCCGGUGGAGCCGCAUCGUGGUGCUCUCGAGGGGGCUUCCCCGGUAGACGCCCGUACCGCCACGCCGCCGGCUGCCCUUCGCGCCUCGGAGAGCUUCGCGUCGCUGGACCCAGUGGAGGAGGCCGCAGUGCUGCGUGCGCAGCAGGAGGAGGAGCCACCGGUGGAGGCGAUGACGGCGUUCGAGGAGUAUGCGCCAGCGCUGCAGCGCGUCGGCACGCCGGUGGAGCCGCAGCCGCGCCUCGCGGUCACGACACACCGGGUUCGCCUGGACGGCGAUUUGUGGGCGCGUGUCGUCGACGAGUGGCCGGACCUGCUCAAGCAGGAGUUCACAAGCGACGUCUGCGAUGCCACGGCGCUGCCGCGGACGUCGAUGCAGCGGCUGGUGCUCACAGCCGGCAGCCUCGUCGCCGACUUCCACCUCUCGCACGGAGGCCUCGCGAAGAGGGAGCUGGACAAGCAGCUUGCCAGCUCGCCCUUCACCCGCACCUGGGCACUGUACGAGCGCGUCGCCGAGACGAAAGAGACGCCGCCCACGCGCGCCACGCCGCCGGCUGCCCUUCGCGCCUCGGAGAGCUUCGCGUCGCUGGACCAAGUGGAGGAGGCCGCAGUGCUGCGUGCGCAGCAGGAGGAGGAGCCACCGGUGGAGGCGAUGACGGCGUUCGAGGAGCAUGCGCCAGCGCUGCAGCGCGUCGGCACGCCGGUGGAGCCGCAUCGUGGUGCUCUCGAGGGGGCUUCCCCGGUAGACGCCCGUACCGCCACGCCGCCGGCUGCCCUUCGCGCCUCGGAGAGCUUCGCGUCGCUGGACCCAGUGGAGGAGGCCGCAGUGCUGCGUGCGCAGCAGGAGGAGGAGCCGCCGGUGGAGGCGAUGACGGCGUUCGAGGAGCAUGCGCCAGCGCUGCAGCGCGUCGGCACGCCGGUGGAGCCGCAUCGUGGUGCUCUCGAGGGGGCUUCCCCGGUAGACGCCCGUACCGCCACGCCGCCGGCUGCCCUUCGCGCCUCGGAGAGCUUCGCGUCGCUGGACCCGGUGGAGGAGGCCGCAGUGCUGCGUGCGCAGCAGGAGGAGGAGCCACCGGUGGAGGCGAUGACGGCGUUCGAGGAGUAUGCGCCAGCGCUGCAGCGCGUCGGCACGCCGGUGGAGCCGCAGCCGCGCCUCGCGGUCACGACACACCGGGUUCGCCUGGACGGCGAUUUGUGGGCGCGUGUCGUCGACGAGUGGCCGGACCUGCUCAAGCAGGAGUUCACAAGCGACGUCUGCGAUGCCACGGCGCUGCCGCGGACGUCGAUGCAGCGGCUGGUGCUCACAGCCGGCAGCCUCGUCGCCGACUUCCACCUCUCGCACGGAGGCCUCGCGAAGAGGGAGCUGGACAAGCAGCUUGCCAGCUCGCCCUUCACCCGCACCUGGGCACUGUACGAGCGCGUCGCCGAGACGAAAGAGACGCCGCCCACGCGCGCCACGCCGCCGGCUGCCCUUCGCGCCUCGGAGAGCUUCGCGUCGCUGGACCCGGCGGAGGAGGCCGCAGUACUGCGUGCGCAGCAGGAGGAGGAGCCACCGGUGGAGGCGAUGACGGCGUUCGAGGAGCAUGCGCCAGCGCUGCAGCGCGUCGGCACGCCGGUGGAGCCGCAUCGUGGUGCUCUCGAGGGGGCUUCCCCGGUAGACGCCCGUACCGCCACGCCGCCGGCUGCCCUUCGCGCCUCGGAGAGCUUCGCGUCGCUGGACCCGGUGGAGGAGGCCGCAGUGCUGCGUGCGCAGCAGGAGGAGGAGCCGCCGGUGGAGGCGAUGACGGCGUUCGAGGAGCAUGCGCCAGCGCUGCAGCGCGUCGGCACGCCGGUGGAGCCGCAUCGUGGUGCUCUCGAGGGGGCUUCCCCGGUAGACGCCCGUACCGCCACGCCGCCGGCUGCCCUUCGCGCCUCGGAGAGCUUCGCGUCGCUGGACCCAGUGGAGGAGGCCGCAGUGCUGCGUGCGCAGCAGGAGGAGGAGCCGCCGGUGGAGGCGAUGACGGCGUUCGAGGAGCAUGCGCCAGCGCUGCAGCGCGUCGGCACGCCGGUGGAGCCGCAUCGUGGUGCUCUCGAGGGGGCUUCCCCGGUAGACGCCCGUACCGCCACGCCGCCGGCUGCCCUUCGCGCCUCGGAGAGCUUCGCGUCGCUGGACCCGGUGGAGGAGGCCGCAGUGCUGCGUGCGCAGCAGGAGGAGGAGCCACCGGUGGAGGCGAUGACGGCGUUCGAGGAGUAUGCGCCAGCGCUGCAGCGCGUCGGCACGCCGGUGGAGCCGCAUCGUGGUGCUCUCGAGGGGGCUUCCCCGGUAGACGCCCGUACCGCCACGCCGCCGGCUGCCCUUCGCGCCUCGGAGAGCUUCGCGUCGCUGGACCCAGUGGAGGAGGCCGCAGUGCUGCGUGCGCAGCAGGAGGAGGAGCCGCCGGUGGAGGCGAUGACGGCGUUCGAGGAGCAUGCGCCAGCGCUGCAGCGCGUCGGCACGCCGGUGGAGCCGCAUCGUGGUGCUCUCGAGGGGGCUUCCCCGGUAGACGCCCGUACCGCCACGCCGCCGGCUGCCCUUCGCGCCUCGGAGAGCUUCGCGUCGCUGGACCCGGUGGAGGAGGCCGCAGUGCUGCGUGCGCAGCAGGAGGAGGAGCCACCGGUGGAGGCGAUGACGGCGUUCGAGGAGUAUGCGCCAGCGCUGCAGCGCGUCGGCACGCCGGUGGAGCCGCAGCCGCGCCUCGCGGUCACGACACACCGGGUUCGCCUGGACGGCGAUUUGUGGGCGCGUGUCGUCGACGAGUGGCCGGACCUGCUCAAGCAGGAGUUCACAAGCGACGUCUGCGAUGCCACGGCGCUGCCGCGGACGUCGAUGCAGCGGCUGGUGCUCACAGCCGGCAGCCUCGUCGCCGACUUCCACCUCUCGCACGGAGGCCUCGCGAAGAGGGAGCUGGACAAGCAGCUUGCCAGCUCGCCCUUCACCCGCACCUGGGCACUGUACGAGCGCGUCGCCGAGACGAAAGAGACGCCGCCCACGCGCGCCACGCCGCCGGCUGCCCUUCGCGCCUCGGAGAGCUUCGCGUCACUGGACCCGGCGGAGGAGGCCGCAGUACUGCGUGCGCAGCAGGAGGAGCCACCGGUGGAGGCGAUGACGGCGUUCGAGGAGCAUGCGCCAGCGCUGCAGCGCGUCGGCACGCCGGUGGAGCCGCAUCGUGGUGCUCUCGAGGGGGCUUCCCCGGUAGACGCCCGUACCGCCACGCCGCCGGCUCGCGAGCUCUGGCAGUCCGUCGCGGAGCCGGAGGGCUACUCGCGCGACGACCUCGGGUGUGCGGAGCCUGCUGCGCUGCAUGCGCUGGCGGAUGACGAGGCGCCGGCGGCCGAGCGCGCCGCGGAGCCGCAGGAGGCACCCAUGGCUGCAUCCACGGAGGUGCCGCCGGCACGCGAGCUCUGGCAGUCCGUCGCGGAGCCGGAGGGCUACUCGCGCGACGACCUCGGGUGUGCGGAGCCUGCUGCGCUGCAUGCGCUGGCGGAGGACGAGGCGCCGGCGGCCGAGCGCGCCGCGGAGCCGCAGGAGGCACCCAUGGCUGCAUCCACGGAGGUGCCGCCGGCUCGCGAGCUCUGGCAGUCCGUCGCGGAGCCGGAGGGCUACUCGCGCGACGACCUCGGGUGUGCGGAGCCCGCUGCGCUGCAUGCACUGGCGGAGGACGAGGCGCCGGCGGCCGAGCGCGCCGCGGAGCCGCAGGAGGCACCCAUGGCUGCAUCCACGGAGGUGCCGCCGGCACGCGAGCUCUGGCAGUCCGUCGCGGAGCCGGAGGGCUACUCGCGCGACGACCUCGGGUGUGCGGAGCCCGCUGCGCUGCAUGCGCUGACGGAGGACGAGGCGCCGGCGGCCGAGCGCGCCGCGGAGCCGCAGGAGGCACCCAUGGCUGCAUCCACGGAGGUGCCGCCGGCUCGCGAGCUCUGGCAGUCCGUCGCGGAGCCGGAGGGCUACUCGCGCGACGACCUCGGGUGUGCGGAGCCCGCUGCGCUGCAUGCGCUGGCGGAGGACGAGGCGCCGGCGGCCGAGCGCGCCGCGGAGCCGCAGGAGGCACCCAUGGCUGCAUCCACGGAGGUGCCGCCGGCUCGCGAGCUCUGGCAGUCCGUCGCGGAGCCGGAGGGCUACUCGCGCGACGACCUCGGGUGUGCGGAGCCUGCUGCGCUGCAUGCGCUGGCGGAGGACGAGGCGCCGGCGGCCGAGCGCGCCGCGGAGCCGGAGGGCUACUCGCGCGACGACCUCGGGUGUGCGGAGCCCGCUGCGCUGCAUGCGCUGACGGAGGACGAGGCGCCGGCGGCCGAGCGCGCCGCGGAGCCGCAGGAGGCACCCAUGGCUGCAUCCACGGAGGUGCCGCCGGCUCGCGAGCUCUGGCAGUCCGUCGCGGAGCCGGAGGGCUACUCGCGCGACGACCUCGGGUGUGCGGAGCCCGCUGCGCUGCAUGCACUGGCGGAGGACGAGGCGCCGGCGGCCGAGCGCGCCGCGGAGCCGCAGGAGGCACCCAUGGCUGCAUCCACGGAGGUGCCGCCGGCACGCGAGCUCUGGCAGUCCGUCGCGGAGCCGGAGGGCUACUCGCGCGACGACCUCGGGUGUGCGGAGCCCGCUGCGCUGCAUGCGCUGGCGGAGGACGAGGCGCCGGCGGCCGAGCGCGCCGCGGAGCCGCAGGAGGCACCCAUGGCUGCAUCCACGGAGGUGCCGCCGGCACGCGAGCUCUGGCAGUCCGUCGCGGAGCCGGAGGGCUACUCGCGCGACGACCUCGGGUGUGCGGAGCCUGCUGCGCUGCAUGCGCUGGCGGAGGACGAGGCGCCGGCGGCCGAGCGCGCCGCGGAGCCGGAGGGCUACUCGCGCGACGACCUCGGGUGUGCGGAGCCCGCUGCGCUGCAUGCGCUGGCGGAGGACGAGGCGCCGGCGGCCGAGCGCGCCGCGGAGCCGCAGGAGGCACCCAUGGCUGCAUCCACGGAGGUGCCGCCGGCUCGCGAGCUCUGGCAGUCCGUCGCGGAGCCGGAGGGCUACUCGCGCGACGACCUCGGGUGUGCGGAGCCCGCUGCGCUGCAUGCGCUGACGGAGGACGAGGCGCCGGCGGCCGAGCGCGCCGCGGAGCCGCAGGAGGCACCCAUGGCUGCAUCCACGGAGGUGCCGCCGGCUCGCGAGCUCUGGCAGUCCGUCGCGGAGCCGGAGGGCUACUCGCGCGACGACCUCGGGUGUGCGGAGCCCGCUGCGCUGCAUGCGCUGGCCGAGGACGAGGCGCCGGCGGCCGAGCGCGCCGCGGAGCCGGAGGGCUACUCGCGCGACGACCUCGGGUGUGCGGAGCCUGCUGCGCUGCAUGCGCUGGCGGAGGACGAGGCGCCGGCGGCCGAGCGCGCCGCGGAGCCGCAGGAGGCACCCAUGGCUGCAUCCACGGAGGUGCCGCCGGCUCGCGAGCUCUGGCAGUCCGUCGCGGAGCCGGAGGGCUACUCGCGCGACGACCUCGGGUGUGCGGAGCCCGCUGCGCUGCAUGCGCUGGCCGAGGACGAGGCGCCGGCGGCCGAGCGCGCCGCGGAGCCGGAGGGCUACUCGCGCGACGACCUCGGGUGUGCGGAGCCCGCUGCGCUGCAUGCGCUGACGGAGGACGAGGCGCCGGCGGCCGAGCGCGCCGCGGAGCCGCAGGAGGCACCCAUGGCUGCAUCCACGGAGGUGCCGCCGGCUCGCGAGCUCUGGCAGUCCGUCGCGGAGCCGGAGGGCUACUCGCGCGACGACCUCGGGUGUGCGGAGCCCGCUGCGCUGCAUGCGCUGGCGGAGGACGAGGCGCCGGCGGCCGAGCGCGCCGCGGAGCCGCAGGAGGCACCCAUGGCUGCAUCCACGGAGGUGCCGCCGGCACGCGAGCUCUGGCAGUCCGUCGCGGAGCCGGAGGGCUACUCGCGCGACGACCUCGGGUGUGCGGAGCCCGCUGCGCUGCAUGCGCUGACGGAGGACGAGGCGCCGGCGGCCGAGCGCGCCGCGGAGCCGCAGGAGGCACCCAUGGCUGCAUCCACGGAGGUGCCGCCGGCUCGCGAGCUCUGGCAGUCCGUCGCGGAGCCGGAGGGCUACUCGCGCGACGACCUCGGGUGUGCGGAGCCCGCUGCGCUGCAUGCGCUGGCGGAGGACGAGGCGCCGGCGGCCGAGCGCGCCGCGGAGCCGCAGGAGGCACCCAUGGCUGCAUCCACGGAGGUGCCGCCGGCACGCGAGCUCUGGCAGUCCGUCGCGGAGCCGGAGGGCUACUCGCGCGACGACCUCGGGUGUGCGGAGCCUGCUGCGCUGCAUGCGCUGGCGGAGGACGAGGCGCCGGCGGCCGAGCGCGCCGCGGAGCCGGAGGGCUACUCGCGCGACGACCUCGGGUGUGCGGAGCCCGCUGCGCUGCAUGCGCUGGCGGAGGACGAGGCGCCGGCGGCCGAGCGCGCCGCGGAGCCGCAGGAGGCACCCAUGGCUGCAUCCACGGAGGUGCCGCCGGCUCGCGAGCUCUGGCAGUCCGUCGCGGAGCCGGAGGGCUACUCGCGCGACGACCUCGGGUGUGCGGAGCCCGCUGCGCUGCAUGCGCUGACGGAGGACGAGGCGCCGGCGGCCGAGCGCGCCGCGGAGCCGCAGGAGGCACCCAUGGCUGCAUCCACGGAGGUGCCGCCGGCUCGCGAGCUCUGGCAGUCCGUCGCGGAGCCGGAGGGCUACUCGCGCGACGACCUCGGGUGUGCGGAGCCCGCUGCGCUGCAUGCGCUGGCCGAGGACGAGGCGCCGGCGGCCGAGCGCGCCGCGGAGCCGCAGGAGGCACCCAUGGCUGCAUCCACGGAGGUGCCGCCGGCUCGCGAGCUCUGGCAGUCCGUCGCGGAGCCGGAGGGCUACUCGCGCGACGACCUCGGGUGUGCGGAGCCCGCUGCGCUGCAUGCGCUGACGGAGGACGAGGCGCCGGCGGCCGAGCGCGCCGCGGAGCCGCAGGAGGCACCCAUGGCUGCAUCCACGGAGGUGCCGCCGGCUCGCGAGCUCUGGCAGUCCGUCGCGGAGCCGGAGGGCUACUCGCGCGACGACCUCGGGUGUGCGGAGCCCGCUGCGCUGCAUGCGCUGGCGGAGGACGAGGCGCCGGCGGCCGAGCGCGCCGCGGAGCCGCAGGAGGCACCCAUGGCUGCAUCCACGGAGGUGCCGCCGGCACGCGAGCUCUGGCAGUCCGUCGCGGAGCCGGAGGGCUACUCGCGCGACGACCUCGGGUGUGCGGAGCCCGCUGCGCUGCAUGCGCUGACGGAGGACGAGGCGCCGGCGGCCGAGCGCGCCGCGGAGCCGCAGGAGGCACCCAUGGCUGCAUCCACGGAGGUGCCGCCGGCACGCGAGCUCUGGCAGUCCGUCGCGGAGCCGGAGGGCUACUCGCGCGACGACCUCGGGUGUGCGGAGCCUGCUGCGCUGCAUGCGCUGGCGGAGGACGAGGCGCCGGCGGCCGAGCGCGCCGCGGAGCCGCAGGAGGCACCCAUGGCUGCAUCCACGGAGGUGCCGCCGGCUCGCGAGCUCUGGCAGUCCGUCGCGGAGCCGGAGGGCUACUCGCGCGACGACCUCGGGUGUGCGGAGCCCGCUGCGCUGCAUGCGCUGGCGGAGGACGAGGCGCCGGCGGCCGAGCGCGCCGCGGAGCCGCAGGAGGCACCCAUGGCUGCAUCCACGGAGGUGCCGCCGGCACGCGAGCUCUGGCAGUCCGUCGCGGAGCCGGAGGGCUACUCGCGCGACGACCUCGGGUGUGCGGAGCCCGCUGCGCUGCAUGCGCUGACGGAGGACGAGGCGCCGGCGGCCGAGCGCGCCGCGGAGCCGCAGGAGGCACCCAUGGCUUCAUCCACGGAGGUGCCGCCGGCACGCGAGCUCUGGCAGUCCGUCGCGGAGCCGGAGGGCUACUCGCGCGACGACCUCGGGUGUGCGGAGCCUGCUGCGCUGCAUGCGCUGGCGGAGGACGAGGCGCCGGCGGCCGAGCGCGCCGCGGAGCCGCAGGAGGCACCCAUGGCUGCAUCCACGGAGGUGCCGCCGGCUCGCGAGCUCUGGCAGUCCGUCGCGGAGCCGGAGGGCUACUCGCGCGACGACCUCGGGUGUGCGGAGCCCGCUGCGCUGCAUGCGCUGACGGAGGACGAGGCGCCGGCGGCCGAGCGCGCCGCGGAGCCGGAGGGCUACUCGCGCGACGACCUCGGGUGUGCGGAGCCCGCUGCGCUGCAUGCGCUGGCGGAGGACGAGGCGCCGGCGGCCGAGCGCGCCGCGGAGCCGGAGGGCUACUCGCGCGACGACCUCGGGUGUGCGGAGCCCGCUGCGCUGCAUGCGCUGACGGAGGACGAGGCGCCGGCGGCCGAGCGCGCCGCGGAGCCGGAGGGCUACUCGCACGGCGACCUCGGGUGUGCGGAGCCCGCUGCGCUGCAUGCGCUGGCGCAGGACGAGGCGCCGGCGGCCGAGCGCGCCGCGGAGCCGGAGGGCUACUCGCGCGACGACCUCGGGUGUGCGGAGCCCGCUGCGCUGCAUGCGCUGGCGGAGGACGAGGCGCCGGCGGCCGAGCGCGCCGCGGAGCCGGAGGGCUACUCGCGCGACGACCUCGGGUGUGCGGAGCCCGCUGCGCUGCAUGCGCUGGCGGAGGACGAGGCGCCGGCGGCCGAGCGCGCCGCGGAGCCGGAGGGCUACUCGCACGGCGACCUCGGGUGUGCGGAGCCCGCCGCGCUGCAUGCGCUGUCGGAGGACGAGGCGCCGGCGGCCGAGCGCGCCGCGGAGCCGGAGGGCUACUCGCGCGACGACCUCGGGUGUGCGGAGCCCGCUGCGCUGCAUGCGCUGGCCGAGGACGAGGCGCCGGCGGCCGAGCGCGCCGCGGAGCCGGAGGGCUACUCGCACGGCGACCUCGGGUGUGCGGAGCCCGCUGCGCUGCAUGCGCUGGCGGAGGACGAGGCGCCGGCGGCCGAGCGCGCCGCGGAGCCGGAGGGCUACUCGCGCGACGACCUCGGGUGUGCGGAGCCCGCUGCGCUGCAUGCGCUGGCGGAGGACGAGGCGCCGGCGGCCGAGCGCGCCGCGGAGCCGGAGGGCUACUCGCGCGACGACCUCGGGUGUGCGGAGCCCGCUGCGCUGCAUGCGCUGGCGGAGGACGAGGCGCCGGCGACCGAGCGCGCCGCGGAGCCGCAGGAGUCAAGAAUUAUCCUGAUGAAUGAGGUAAGGGAGGUUGCGGGGCGUAAAGAAGAUGCUGAGUUCACCUGUUUGCGGACGUCUUUUUCUGCUGGGUGUUCUUGCCCGGGCUCCUCUGGUUUGUUCGAGUCUCCGUCACGAAGCGUCGUGGGGAUGCAGGUGGUGGAUGGAAAGUCUUUAAAGCCGCGAGUGACUCAACAUAAGGUGAAGCUUCAGGGAAGGUACUGGGCCAAAGUGAUUUCGUUGCCGUGUGUCGUGGAAGCAUUUCGCCAGGAUGUCGCGCACGCGCUUGAUGUACGUGUGGCGGAUAUUCAGCACGUGGAGCUGGUAGCUGGGAGCUUGUUGGGCACAUUUGUUGUGGUGCACGCAUUUGAUCUACUUACGGCUACCGAGGCGGACGACAAGUUGCGCGCGUACCACUUUCCGCUUACUUGGGAGCACUACCCGAAGACGCCCGACACGACGACGGGCCACUUCUUUGAGGCCGAGGCUCUGUCUACAAUCCGGCGCACAUCACGCUGCAUCAACUCAGCAUCAAAGUCCCGAUUACCACCCGCUGAUAUGGAGUUGUCCCGGCCCACCCCGGCUGCUCUGAAGCCGCACCCUCCACUGUGGGCUGCUCAAGAGGUGUCGCAGAGCACGUUAUCGUCGGGUGGUCGUACUUGCUCUGCGACGAUUAGAACACCUGCGGUGCGAGAGAGCCUUCCUGUGGGUCCUGCAGUGCACGGAGCUCCUCCUCUCAUUGAGAAACGGACGUGGGCGAGCAACCUUCCUUCUUCGAAGGAACGCCAUUACGCGGGCGACGAUGGGAGUGAGUCAUCGAUGAAGUUCUUGCAGGAAACGGCGCUGGCGCCAGUAGCAAAGGCCGUGAGAGCGCCGGCGGCUCCUGAGACGGUGAGCACGAAGCACCGCGUCGGCUUUGUGGGGAACCAGUGGUCCACAAUCCUGAAGACGCAGAGGGAUGACUUCGUGGCCGCGUUCGUGAAGGGCACUGGCGAGAAGCUCGGUUAUGAACCGGACUCGGUGACCAAGGUGCAGUGCGACGAGAGCACAGGCGACACCAUCGUCAGCUUUCGUGUCACCCACCCAAGCGUACUGCCGAGAAAGCAGAUCGACUUGGUACUCCGUAGUGCUCCCUACGCCGAUGUGUGGAAGCUGUACUACAAGAACACCCCGCCGGAAGAACAGGAGACGAUUCACAAUGACGUUACAACAUUUCAUCGCGUCGGCUUUGUUGGGAGCAAGUGGAAGGAAGUAAGGAACCGUGGCAUGGCUCGCUUUAUCGAGGCGUUCGCAGCUGACACGGCAACUGCCCUGAAUGUAACUCCGCAAGCGGUACGCAUCGCCGACUACGCGGUAGCCGAUGACAUCGUGGUGGAUUUCUAUGUUACCCACCCGGGGACAGACACAGAGGAAGUAAUCGAUGCUAAGCUCGAGCAGUUCGACUACCAGCGCGUUUGGGACCUCUACGGAAUCCCGAGCGAGGCGGACGAGCAGCAGCGCGUCGUUCCGUGCGUUAUGAAAUGCAGCAACGCGUCCCGCGGAACAUCUCCUUCCUCGACCUGCCGACUGCGAAUGCCCGGCACGAACUCUGUUUCCCAAGCCGACAGCGUCUGCCCGAGGUGUCAACGGCAGUUCUCCUCGAAACAGGAGUUUCUUCAACCCGACGAAAGUAGUGGCUGGAACCCACAUCCUAUGCACAGUCACACUAGCUCCAUCAGCGAUGCAGUUCGCACCGCGCUGAUGGAGGACAGCUACUCGGCGAUUCGCAAGCCAUCGCCAACACCGCCUCUUCCACACCUGGCGCACCGGUACGCUCCACACCAAAGGUCAGAAGGGCAAACAUCGCAGCAGCCGAGCGCGCAUCAAACGCGUGGUAUAUCACUCAUACGUGGCGCACAGAUGACCCCGCGUGUGCCGUGGCACACUAGUGUCAACAACAGCCUCAUUCCGCACCCCCCGCGACAGCGCUCCCUCAGCAACACUACACGGUAUCGUCAACGUCGCGUCAAUCUACGCGAACUGGAGAGCGAGCUGUCGCGUAAACAACGUCAGCACAAGCACCAGGAACGACAGCAGCAGCUCGAUCGAGAGAUGCGCCGCUCUCUGAACUGCAGCAAAUUGUCGAUGCCCACCGGCCCCACUAUCAACGUUUCGCGGAGCUUCCUGCCACCCAUUCCACCGUGUUACACAAAGGUCCGCACAGGCCCGCAGCACAUGAAGACAGGGAUGGGCUCUCUGCUGGAGUAGUUGUUUGGAAAAGCAGAGGUAAGCACGCAUGUGAGUGUGCGUAUGUCUGCGCCACCCAUCAGUGGAGGACAGACGUAUCUCAUCCGCCUUUUGUGAGAGAAAGCCGUUAUGGUCCUCACCUCUUUUUCCGUCGUCAGGCUGCCUGCCCUCUCUUGAUCCCCCUCCCACUCUGUUUGUCUUCUCUCCGCGUGAGGACGCCACUUGGCACCAUUCUUCGACUGUCUCUGGUGCGCUGACGUCUGUAGCGACUCACUCGAGUCGUCCACUCUCUUCCCCCGCGGUCGCUUUCUCUCCUACUCUUUGACCCUUCCUGUCUCACGCCUCUUCUCUCGAGCUGGUGCGUGCGUCGGCGUUGCUGCGCCUCUUCGGCUCAUUUCUUUUCUUGGCCCUCUUCUCGUUGAUAUCAUUGCUGUUGGUAUCGGCUUUGAACGUCUUCCUCUUUUGGUGCACUUCGUGGGUGUCACGGUGGUCUGUGGGUGUGUUUACUGGAGAGUGAGUGCAUGUGCCUCUGCGGGGUGUUUGAGCGGGCGGUCUGUCUGUGCUUGGCUUCCUGUGUUUCAUCCCUCAUUUUCCUUAUGUUGUGUGGAUCUCUUUUUCUCUCUGUCUUGUAUUUGGGAUGUGCAGAUGUGCGUGUGUGUGUGGGGAGUCUCUCGGUGUAUGCUCUGCUUUCUUCACCUCCUCUUCUCCCCCACCUCUCCAACACCUCCCCCUCAUCAUCCUCCUUCCUCAUCCUGUAGAAGUUGCUAGUUUUUCUUGUUUGGGAUACUCUCGCUCCCCCUCCCUCCACUCAGUCUGUCCUCGCCGUUUUUCUCGUCACUGCUUAACCCAGUGAUCUUUGUGUAAUCUCGUGGGUCUGUGUAGGGGAGAGGGAGGAAGGGGGAAGACGGCGGAGAUGUGCCCACACACCUCUGUUUCUCACGUCUUCUUUGAUGUUGUGUUCAUUCUUCUUUAUGUUCUGUUGGUGUUUUGUGUGGGUUCGCUCCGCCUUUCCCACCUCUCCCCCCCUGCCUCUUUCUUCUUUUUUUUCCGCAUGUCUCUUCUUCGUUUUUUUUUCUUGUUGGGACCGUUUGUCUCGUUCGCUUUCGUACCGGAAUACACUCCACUUUCACUCACUACCCUUCCCCUCCCCCCUCCCGCAUCCUUGACCGACAUGCGCACAAGAGGGCGCGUGGCAUGUAUCUUGAACUCUUAGGGCAGACAGUGUGGAUAGAUUGCUGCAGUUGCCUGUUUUUCCUUCUAUUUCGCCUCUACAGAUGUGAAACCAAAAAGAAAAAGCGUGUGCACACAACGCGGCC
rnacentral:misc_RNA from 1 species